AACUCCGGACGCGAGGGACCCAGUACUUUCCUGAAACGAGGCAAGCUACCCAAAGAGUUCUCCGGGCCGACGCAGCCGGGUCAACAGACAUCGGUCAAAUCACUCACAUGAGAUUCAUUCUGCCGCUUUUCGUGCUGUCCGCUUGGGCUCUGGACAGCGUAUACCAUACUCUUCGAUUUUACGACAGAAUUUUACAUAAAAGAGAAGAUCAAAGAUGAAAGAUGGAAGGUGAGAAAAAGCACGUGCUGUCGGUGGGUUUCCUGCUUUUGCAUGUCCGACUAAUUAGCGAACAACGCGACGUCUGCGCCGAAAGUAAUUAGAGCCAGAACUUGUUACCAAUCUGGCUGAGUAAAUCAAAGGCAGGUGGUUCUGGCAGCCAACGAACAGCAGAAGAACAGCAACUCUCAUAAGUAUAUAUCCACCGAAAACUGAAA